GUCGCAAACAUGCUUUUACUUGAUUCCAUGGAACUUCGCAAAAUACAGAUUCACAGUAUCUUAUCAACCAAAUAUAAGAGCAAAUAACUUAAAACCACACUUAAACCAGUAUGGAUAUUAAAACUAAUCUAUAAAGGCCAUAAAACAUAGGCCUAAUUAAGAGCUAUCAAUCUAAUAACGGUCACCACCGUAACCGCCACCACCACCGUAACCGCCGCCGCCACCUUCACGUCGGCCACCUCCGUAG
rnacentral:misc_RNA from 1 species